rnacentral:rRNA from 1 species
AAUCAACGCUGGCGGCGUGCCUCAGACAUGCAAGUCGAACGCGAAAGCCUCCUUCGGGGGGCAAGUAGAGUGGCGCACGGGUGAGUAACACGUAGGUAAUCUACCUUUGGAUUGGGAAUAACCACCGGAAACGGUGGCUAAUACCGAAUAAUGCAGUGGCACCUAAUGGUGACAGUUGUUAAAGCGGGGGAUCGAAAGACCUCGCGUCUGAAGAGGAGCCUGCGGCAGAUUAGCUAGUUGGUAAGGUAACGGCUUACCAAGGCGAUGAUCUGUAGCCGGCCUGAGAGGGCGGUCGGCCACACUGACACUGACAUACGGGUCAGACUCCUACGGGAGGCAGCAGUCGGGAAUUUUGGGCAAUGGGCGAAAGCCUGACCCAGCAACGCCGCGUGAAGGAUGAAAUCCCUCGGGAUGUAAACUUCGCAAGAACGGGAAGAAUAAGUAAGGGUUAAUAUCUCUUACGAUGACGGUACUGUUUGUAAGCUCCGGCUAACUCCGUGC